GUAUGCUGGGCCCAGUUAGCAUUGGUCGAGCCGCUGUCUUCCUCGGCUCCUCUGCUUUGGUCGUGAAUCGGUGCCGCCGCGUGUCGGCCAUCGGCGAGGCUCUAGCGCUCAGAGUCGCGGGGCCGCUCCUCUCUCUGUCCGCCCCUGUCUCGACUCUCGAGCUAUGAUGGUGGACUGCUAUGGCGUACGGCGGCGACGGGAUUGGCUGCUGCUCGCUGCUCCACUACGCGGAGAGCCCCAUGACCAUGGCCAGGCGAUGGUUUGUCCGUUUCCCUCCCUUUCUUCUACAGAGAGUGCUGGUUCUAUUCUUUCUUGCUCUUCCUCAGCUCAUCUUUUCUUCUCCGCACAGUAUCGUCGCUGAUCGUAUCCUCCCUUGUGCUCUGUUGUUUUCCUCCUACGCCUUGCUCUAGAUUGCGCCGUUGUGGUUCGAGGGUUCUUUCGAUCAUGCGUGUGCCCACUGAUUUUUGGGUUUUCUGCUUUCUAGGCUGCGCUGCUGGAUUGGGGAUUCUCUGUUGGCGUUUUCACUUGGGGGAGGCAAGGAUUUGCCUCCCUCGUCUACUGCUCGCAAAGAUGGAUUACAGUCUCCUAAAGGAUGUCACACAGGAAUCACACCGUUGGCGCGUACGAGUGCGGGCAACCCGCUUCUCGGAGUUCACCAUAGCUAAUGAGCCUGACAAGAUUUUGCGCCUUGAUUUAGUCCUGCUUGAUGAGCAGGGAGACAUGAUGGAUGCGCAAAUCCCAAGAUGCCAUGUUGAUUAGUUCAAGCCUUUGCUAAAGGAAGGCGCUGUGUAUUACAUCAAAUACUUCGAAGUCGCCGAGGCACGCCCCCAGUAUAGGCCUGUUGAUCGGCUGUUGAUGGCAAAGUUCACUGCUCACACAACCGUUAUAGAAGAUACUAGACCACCAUCCACGUUCCCAUCUUAUGCCUGCAAAAUUCUUUCUUUUGAUGAACUCAGAGCUCGGGCUUACAAGAAAGAUAUUCUUUCAGAUGCUAUAGGCAUAAUGACAACCAUCGGGCCAAAGCAGACUGUUUCUUGUGCAGGUGUUAUGAAAGUUGUGCUUAAUGUCCAUAUAACCAAUGGAAGAGAAACUGCCGUCGUGGCAUUAUGGGGUCCCCAUGCUACACAAUUCCACGCUGAAAACUUGCAGCAGCAAGCAGACAAUGGACCUGUUGUCAUGUUAUUUGUUGGUUUAACUGUUAAAUUUUGAGACCGCCAGCUAGCCCUACAGGGUAGCACUGUCUGUAGAUGGUAUCCUAAUGCACCAAUCCAGGAAACAAUCUCCC